rnacentral:rRNA from 1 species
UCGAACGAUGAAGCCCUUCGGGGUGGAUUAGUGGCGAACGGGUGAGUAACACGUGGGCAAUCUGCCCUGCACUCUGGGACAAGCCCUGGAAACGGGGUCUAAUACCGGAUACUGAUCGCCUUGGGCAUCCUUGGUGAUCGAAAGCUCCGGCGGUGCAGGAUGAGCCCGCGGCCUAUCAGCUUGUUGGUGAGGUAAUGGCUCACCAAGGCGACGACGGGUAGCCGGCCUGAGAGGGCGACCGGCCACACUGGGACUGAGACACGGCCCAGACUCCUACGGGAGGCAGCAGUGGGGAAUAUUGCACAAUGGGCGAAAGCCUGAUGCAGCGACGCCGCGUGAGGGAUGACGGCCUUCGGGUUGUAAACCUCUUUCAGCAGGGAAGAAGCGAAAGUGACGGUACCUGCAGAAGAAGCGCCGGCUAACUACGUGCCAGCAGCCGCGGUAAUACGUAGGGCGCGAGCGUUGUCCGGAAUUAUUGGGCGUAAAGAGCUCGUAGGCGGCUUGUCGCGUCGGUUGUGAAAGCCCGGGGCUUAACCCCGGGUCUGCAGUCGAUACGGGCAGGCUAGAGUUCGGUAGGGGAGAUCGGAAUUCCUGGUGUAGCGGUGAAAUGCGCAGAUAUCAGGAGGAACACCGGUGGCGAAGGCGGAUCUCUGGGCCGAUACUGACGCUGAGGAGCGAAAGCGUGGGGAGCGAACAGGAUUAGAUACCCUGGUAGUCCACGCCGUAAACGGUGGGCACUAGGUGUGGGCGACAUUCCACGUCGUCCGUGCCGCAGCUAACGCAUUAAGUGCCCC